rnacentral:rRNA from 1 species
UACGUAGGGUGCGAGCGUUAAUCGGAAUUACUGGGCGUAAAGCGUCUGCAGGUGUCUUGCCACGUUUGGUGUCAAAUGAUGCGGCUUAACCGCGUCAACGUACCGAAAACGAGCGAGAUUGAGCCAUUCAGAGGUAUCUGGAAUGUCGUGUGUAGGGGUAAAAUCCGUAGAUCCACGAUGGAACGCCAAAAGCGAAGGCAGGAUACUGGGAAUGUGCUGACACUCAGAGACGAAAGCGUGGGGAGCAAAGGGG